rnacentral:rRNA from 1 species
GAUGAACGCUGGCGGCGUGCCUAAUACAUGCUAGUCGAGCGAACAGACGAGGAGCUUGCUCCUCUGACGUUAGCGGCGGACGGGUGAGUAACACGUAGAUAACCUACCUAUAAGACUGGGAUAACUUCGGGAAACCGGAGCUAAUACCGGAUAAUAUAUUGAACCGCAUGGUUCAAUAGUGAAAGACGGUUUUGCUGUCACUUAUAGAUGGAUCCGCGCCGCAUUAGCUAGUUGGUAAGGUAACGGCUUACCAAGGCAACGAUGCGUAGCCGACCUGAGAGGGUGAUCGGCCACACUGGAACUGAGACACGGUCCAGACUCCUACGGGAGGCAGCAGUAGGGAAUCUUCCGCAAUGGGCGAAAGCCUGACGGAGCAACGCCGCGUGAGUGAUGAAGGUCUUCGGAUCGUAAAACUCUGUUAUUAGGGAAGAACAAAUGUGUAAGUAACUAUGCACGUCUUGACGGUACCUAAUCAGAAAGCCACGGCUAACUACGUG